rnacentral:rRNA from 1 species
GCAGGUUGAAGCGCGGGUAAGACCGCGUGGAGGACCGAACCCACCUGGGUUGAAAACCGGGGGGAUGACCUGGGGCUAGGGGUGAAAGGCCAAUCAAAUUCCGUGAUAGCUGGUUCUCUCCGAAAUGCAUUUAGGUGCAGCGUCGGUUGAUUGCAUCGCGGGGGUAGAGCUACUGGAUGCUUGCGGGCCCGUAUGGGGUACCAACAGCAGCCAAACUCCGAAUACCGUUGAUGUGUAUUCCGGCAGUGAGUCGGCGGGGGAUAAGCUCCGUCGUCGAGAGGGAGACAGCCCAGAUCGUCGUCUAAGGUCCCGAAGCGUGUGCUAAGUGGGAAAGGAUGUGGAGUCGCAUAGACAGCCAGGAGGUUGGCUCAGAAGCAGCCAUCCUUGAAAGAGUGCGUAACAGCUCACUGGUCUAGUGGUUCCGCGCCGACAAUGUAGCGGGGCUCAAGCACACCACCGAAGACGCGGCAGCAAUCUUCAUGGUUGCUGGGUAGGAGAGCGUCCUGCGAGGGGCGAAGCGGCCGGGUAACCGUGCCGUGGACUUCGUGGGAGUGAGAAUGCAGACAUGAGUAGCGAGAGACGGGUGAGGAUCCCGUCCGCUGGAUGACCAAGGGUUCCGGGGCCACGUUCGUCGUCCCCGGGUGAGUCGGGUCCUAAGGCGAGGCCGACAGGCGUAGUCGAAUGGAUGAACGGGUGGAUAUUCCCGUACCGACCAUGGACCGGCAAAACCGAGACGGUGAGUACUAACCUCCGCCUCGUGGUGGUUCCUUCCUUCGGGUUGGUUCCGCCGCGUGGUGUUGGGAGCGUAGCCGUAGUAGGUCAGCGCAGGGGUGACACGGAAUGGGAGCCGGCCGCGGAGGUGGUUUUCCGUGGUCAAGCACGCAGCCAGUCAUGUAGGCAAAUCCGCAUGGCGCGCAUGGCGAGGUGUGAUGAUGGGAGCCUUUUGGGCUCGAUAUCCGGUUGUCCAGGCCGUCGAGAAAAGCCUCGGCGUGAGGGCCAUGGCCGCCCGUACCCCAAACCGACACUGGUGGUCAGGUAGAGAAUACCAAGGCGAUCGAGCGAAUCCUGGUCAAGGAACUCGGCAAAUCACUCCCGUGCCUUCGGUAUAAGGGAGACCCCUGAUGGUGAUGGAACUUGCUUCCGGAGCUUUCGGGGGUGGCACAGACCAGGGGGUAGCGACUGUUUACCAAAAACACAGGUGCAUGCGAAGGCGCAAGCCGCUGUAUAUGCACUGACGCCUGCCCGGUGCCGGAAGGUUAAGAGGAUCCGUCAGCCCUCGGGUGAAGCGGUGAAUUCAAGCCCCGGUAAACGGCGGUGGUAACUAUAACCAUCCUAAGGUAGCGAAAUUCCUUGUCGGGUAAGUUCCGACCUGCACGAAUGGCGUAACGA